rnacentral:rRNA from 1 species
GACGAACGCUGGCGGCGUGCUUAACACAUGCAAGUCGAGCGGUAAGGCCCUUUCGGGGGUACACGAGCGGCGAACGGGUGAGUAACACGUGGGUGACCUGCCCUCAGCUCUGGGAUAAGCCUGGGAAACUGGGUCUAAUACUGGAUAUGACUCCACGGUGCAUGUCGUGGGGUGGAAAGCCUUGUGCGGCUGAGGAUGGGCCCGCGGCCUAUCAGCUUGUUGGUGGGGUGANGGGCCUACCAAGGCGACGACGGGUAGCCGGCCUGAGAGGGCGACCGGCCACACUGGGACUGAGACACGGCCCAGACUCCUACGGGAGGCAGCAGUGGGGAAUCUUGCGCAAGUGGGCGAAAGCCUGACGCAGCGACGCCGCGUGAGGGAUGACGGCCU